rnacentral:rRNA from 1 species
AUUGAACGCUGGCGGCAUGCCUUAUACAUGCAAGUCGAACGGCAGCGCGGACUUCUUUCUGGCCGCGCGUUGCGAACGGGCGAGUAAUACACCCGAACGUACCCUGCCUAUGGGGCUAACUAGACGUAAGAUUAGCUAAUACAGUACACGACCUUAUGUUGAACGUCAGGGAUCGAUAGUGCACACCGAGUAUGCUCUCACUUUGUCUGAUUAGCUAGUUGGUUGGGUAAAGGCCCACCAAGGCGACGAUCAGUAGCUAGUCUGAGAGGACGAUCAGCCACACUGGGACUGAGACACGGCCCAGACUCCUACGGGAGGCAGCAGUGGGGAAUUUUGGACAAUGGGGGCAACCCUGAUCCAGCAAUGCCGCGUGUGUGAAGAAGGCCUUCGGGUUGUAAAGCACUUUUGUCCGGAAAGAAAACGCGCUGGUUAAUACCUGGCGUGGAUGACGGUACCGGAAGAAUAAGCACCGGCUAACUACGUG